GACGGGGGAUGCAAGUGUUAUCCGGAAUCACUGGGCGUAAAGCGUCUGCAGGUGGUUUCCUAAGUCCACUGUUAAACCUUGAGGCUCAACCUCAAAUCUGCAUUGGAAACUAGGAGACUUGAGUAUAGUAGGGGUAGAGGGAAUUUCCAGUGGAGCGGUGAAAUGCGUAGAUAUUGGAAAGAACACCGAUGGCGAAGGCACUCUACUGGGCUACUACUGACACUCAGAGACGAAAGCUAGGGGAGCAAAUGGG
rnacentral:rRNA from 1 species